AGCAGGGAGCUGGGUCAGAGGUGGAGCUGUUAGGUUGGGAGUUCAGCCCACGUGUGAGACAGGCCUGAAGACCAGCACCAACUGUGGAAGCUCCAGAAGCCCAGCGUUUUGCACUUCAGUCCUGCUCAGACCUGGAGAGUUAGUGAGAGUGAGAGACAGAGAGAAAGGUCUUCCUUCUGUUGGUUCACCUCCCAAAUGGCCACCACGGCCGACGCUGCACCGAUCCGAAGCCAGGAGCCAGGUGCUUCUCCUGGUCUCCCAUGUGGGUGCAGGGCCCAAGCACUUGGGCCAUCCUCCACUGCACUCCUGGGCCACAGCAGAGAGCUGGACUGGAAGAGGAGCAACAGGGACAGAAUCCGGCAUCCCAACCGGGACUAGAACCCGGGGUGCCAGCGCCACAGAUCGUCUCCGGCCUUUUCUUUCCAUCCUGAGCUAAGGAAAGAACCCCCGAGACUCGCUGCCGGCACCGCCUCCCCUCCACGACCACUACACCGGUGUUGCAAGCAGUGGCUCUGCCUGCUGUGCCACAGUGCCUGCCCCAUUAGCGCUUGUUUUAAAGACUGUGAAAAUCAAGAAGCAGGAGAAAACACGGAAACCUCGAUUCCUCACCUCACACGCCACAGAUGUCACAGGUGCUCCAGACAGCAAGAGCUCAGAGCUCUAUCCAGCCUAAGGACAACAUCCUCUUCCCUAGCUUCUCACCCUGCGCUGAGUUCAUGGCUCGGAACCAGCCCAGCCACCCGGCACUGGAAGGCGGUCACCGGGUGAUCAGAAAGGCCCUCUAGGCCACCACCUGCCUGGCCCGUGCUCAGGGCUGUGGACAAGGCCCACCCGCAGGCCUGGGCCUGCUUCUGCACUGGAGGCCAGGGCAGGGGGAGAGGAGCGGCACAGUCAACGAUGGCAGUGACGGGGUGCUGUCUGCGCUGUGGAUCUGUCCUGUGCUUCCGGGCUCGAGGCCCUGGGCCAGGUGCAGCGACCGGUUCCAAGCGAAGGCCUUCUUGUCGGAGUAGUAGCCGCCGGGCUGCCGCAGCGGGCGCACCUGGUCCCUCUGGAAGAUGAUCUUGUCUCCCGGAUACAGCAGGGCUACGGGCAG